UAAACCUUGUGUGAGAAUCAAAAAAAAAAAAAGUACAAGUUUAAAAGUCUUGACGUAAUUUCCACGAAUUCUCAACAGACGGCAGAUUAAAGGUGUUCUUUAUGUCGAUUAUACUGGCUAUGAAGUGUCUUGACUGACUCAGGAUCCAACUUUUUAUUUUCUUCUUAAAUGCAGUCAUUAUACUAGGAAUCUUCAAAACUUGAGGGAUACCAUUAUAAACUCGAGGCGCAAGGAACAGGUGUGAUCUCUGACCCUUCGUCCCACAUGAGGUAGGCAAUAAUAU